CUACCUAUUACCUGCCAGGCUUUGUCCUACUUCUCUGCUCUCCCAGCUUUCGCCCACCCCCCCCCAAUCAGUCUGAAGAAGGCUCCCGACCCAAAACAUCACCUAUCCAUGUUCUCCAGAAAUGUUGCCUGACCUGCAGUUACUUCAGCACUUUGUGUCUUUUUCCUGUAAACUACCACCUGCAGUUCCUGGAAUCCAGCUGAAAUGUCAACUAUCCCUGGUCUCCAGAGAUGCUGCCUGACCUGCUGAGUUACUGCAGCACAUUGUGUCCUUUUGUGUAUUAACCAGCCUCUGCAGUCCUUCUACUCAUUGUGAAGCAAGUACAGAAAUGCAUGGUCUUGACUUGAAACCUCGACAAUUCCUUUCUCACCAGUCUUUUACCCAGAGUAAAUCGAGAACAAGAGGACAUUGGUAUAAGGUGAGGGGAGAACAAGAGGGGCAACUUAUUUUACACAAAGGGUGGUGGGUAUAUGGAACGGGGUGCUGGCAGAGGUUGUUCUGUCAAAUACUAUCGCAAAGUUUAAGAGACAUUUAGACAGGAACAUGGAUAGGAUAGGUCCAUUUACAUCAAUGGGACGAUGGUGGGAGAGUCAAAAACCUCAAAUUCCUAGGCAAGCAUAUUUCCGACGAUCUUUCCUGGACCCAGCACACUGAUGCAAUCAUAAAGAAAGCACAUCCGCACCUCUACUUCCUGAGAAGAUUACGGAGAUUCGGUAUGUCAUAGAGGAUUCUCUUAAACUUCUACAGGUGCAUGGUAGAGAUCAUAUUGACUGGUUGCAUCGUGGCCUGGUUCGGCAACUUGAACAUCCAGGAGUGGAAAAGACGGCAAAAAGUUGUAAACACUGCCCAGUCCAUCACCGGUUCUGACCUUCCCACCAGCGAAGGGAUUUAUUAUAAAGGCAAACUCAAAAAGGCAGUCAACAUCAUCAAAGACCCACACCAUCCUGGCCACACACUCAUCACACUACUGCCAUCGGGAAGAAGGUACAGGAGCCUGAGAACUGUAACGUCCAGGUUCAGGAACAGUUUCUUCCCUACAGCCAUCAGGCUAUUAAACACUACAACCUCAUAAGCUAUGAACUACAAUAGACUUAUUAUUAUUAUUAAUGCACUGUUAUUGUUUGUUUUUUUUUUCCCUGAGUUUUUGUUAUAUUAUUUAUUAUGAUUACAUAUUCUAUUGUGCUGCAGCAAGUAAGAAUUUCAUUGUUCUAUCUGGGACAUAUUAUAAUAGCUUAUAUUAUAAUAUAAUUCUUAAUAAUAGCGGAGUCAGGGGAUAUGGGGAGAAGGCAGGAACGGGGUACUGAUUGGGGAUGAUCAGCCAUUGAAUGGCGGUGCUGGCUCGAAGGGCCAAAUGGCCUACUCCUGCACCUAUUGUCUAUAAUAAAACACUCUUGACUCUUGACUAGAGGAAUAUGGGCCAAAUGCAGGCAGGUGAGACUAGUGCAUGUCAGUCAACAUGGACAAGUUGGGCUGAAGAACACGCUACAGUAUAUGACUAUAACUCUAAGAUACUGCCUGACCCACAAAGUUCCUCCAGCAAAAGAGGGAUAUGGACCAAACGCAGACAGGUGGGACUAAUGUAGAUGGGGCAUUUUGGUCAGUAGAGGCAAGUUGGGCUGAAGGGCCUUUAUCCCAGGCUGUGUGAUUCUAAAACUACAAGGAUUCAGGUUGAAUUUCAAACGGUUGCCAAGAUAAAUGGGCAAAAGGUACAGAGUGAAGGCUACAUCAUGUUAAUGAUUAGAAACGGGUGUUUGUCGACUCUGCUACAGAGGGGCACGAUUGUCAAUGAAUUUAAAUCACACGAUUGAGAAUAAUAGAAUGCUUUGUAAUGGGAAUGUCUACAAAUUACUGCAGGAGGUGAUAAAGUCCAUUCAGAGCCAGAUUACCAUGGAACGUAAUAAAGUCGUUAUAGAGAAGUUAUUGCUUCUGUUGAGGGAGUGGGUAGAGGAACAAAACUGGAAUUGGCCAGUUCAACUAUGAAGUCAGAAACUAUUUAACAAAAGAAAAAGGGCAAA